UCUACUUUCCUUUCUUCAUUCCUUCAGUCUGAGAAACCCAGAAUCUUUAGUUUCUGCAUUCUACCUUUUUAUUUUUCUUCAUCCCCGAAAAAACCCACACACAAUCUCAUUAAGAAAAAAAAAAAAAUCCAUGCUCCAUUUCCUUGCAUCUCUUACCUCUUCUCUUGCAAACAUAUGAAAUACUAAGGGAAAAUUGCAUUUGAGGUGAGCGGUAAUUGUGCAGAGGAGCUUCACUUGGAAAGUUUGCAGCAUCAAAUAGAAAGUGAUCUUAUGCCAAGUGCCCGAUGUGACCAAAGUGAUUCUUAUGGUAUCCUUUUAGUUAUAUGUUCUAUGGUGAAUUAUAUAAGUAAACUUUUUUUUUUUUAACAAUUAGUUAAUAUUUAAAAAAGAUGUUAUACCUGCUAUAUGGACCAUGAGGUAACUAUCUAUGUUGUUUAGUUUGCCCUAAUUUCUUUCUAUUUAGUUUUCAGCCAAGGUUGGAAUUUCUUAGGCUUGGCUGAUGGAACAUUAUUAAUUUUCAAGUUGAUUACAAAUAUGCAGUUGGGGAUAGGAUAGGUGAACUGUCUUAUACUUACUCCUAUUUUAUGAAUUUGAGGUUGGUUGCCGAGAUGUGGUAUUAGUUUGCUUGUGGUUUUGUAUUAUAGGCUAAUGGCACUCAAGACUUCCAUGAUAAACUGAUAUUUACAGAUUGAGAAACCCAUACUAUUGGUUACAAUUCCAAAAAUGUGCUUGAAAAUGCCUUAGGUCAGGUGCAUAUCAUUAUCCUUGUGCACUUGGUUAUGAGGUUGAUGUAGUGUCCCUCCUUAACAUAUUGAAGUUGUGGGUUUAUUUUUUUUAUUUUUAUUUUUUUUUUGUCUAUAAGUAAUAAUCACUGCCCCCACACCCUUUCUGUGAAUUUCAUGUAACAAUUGGUGUAUUACUAGAGUGGAUAUCACGAUGGUCUCAUAGCAAGAGAAGAAACUGUAGCGUAAGAGGGAUUUAAUAUUGGCUUUAAGGAAUCAGUCCUUGUUGGGUACAAAUGGGGUCUAGUUAGAGGUGAUACCAGGUCUUGAGGACUUGAAAGAGAGCAUUUAAAUUCUCAAGAUGUGGCAAGGGAUUGGAAUGAGCUAGGGGUAACAAACUGUGGAAAUGAGACAAAACUCCUAAGUGGAUCAGUCUAUCGAGGGGAAUUGCCCAAGGAAUUAUAUGUGGUGAAAGAUGUAUUAACUGGAAUGAGAAAACAUGUUCAUCUGCUGGACAUAACAACUUUAUCACAACUCAGAAAAGAUGCACAUCCUGGCUUUUAUAAUGGCUUUAGGCGCAUGGACUAUAACCAUUGGUGUAUUGCUGGACUUCUAGAUACUUGGAAUCAAGUUUUUAUGCAUUUCUCAUAAUUGUUAUGCUUGUUCUGGUACUUUUAGUUUAUAAAAAUGAUCAUACGGUUGCUUAGGUCCUUCCUUCCAUAGAUCACCAUUUUUAAGGGAAUCAAGUUUCAAAACACGACUGAUCUUUUCAUUUUCAAUGUCAACCAGAUAUUGAGAGUUAAACAUCAUUAAUGAAACUCUACAAUCCUGGAUAAUUUAGGGUAUUUAAUAUAUUCAUAAUUUGAACCAUAAAUUUGCAUGACUCUUUGAUUUUU